rnacentral:rRNA from 2 species
AGCUUGCUCUCGGGUGACGAGUGGCGGACGGGUGAGUAAUGUCUGGGAAACUGCCUGAUGGAGGGGGAUAACUACUGGAAACGGUAGCUAAUACCGCAUAACGUCGCAAGACCAAAGAGGGGGACCUUCGGGCCUCUUGCCAUCAGAUGUGCCCAGAUGGGAUUAGCUAGUAGGUGGGGUAACGGCUCACCUAGGCGACGAUCCCUAGCUGGUCUGAGAGGAUGACCAGCCACACUGGAACUGAGACACGGUCCAGACUCCUACGGGAGGCAGCAGUGGGGAAUAUUGCACAAUGGGCGCAAGCCUGAUGCAGCCAUGCCGCGUGUGUGAAGAAGGCCUUCGGGUUGUAAAGCACUUUCAGCGGGGAGGAAGGGAGUAAGGUUAAUAACCUUGCUCAUUGACGUUACCCGCAGAAGAAGCACCGGCUAACUCCGUGCCAGCAGCCGCGGUAAUACGGAGGGUGCAAGCGUUAAUCGGAAUUACUGGGCGUAAAGCGCACGCAGGCGGUCUGUCAAGUCGGAUGUGAAAUCCCCGGGCUCACCCUGGGAACUGCAUCCGAAACUGGCAGGCUUGAGUCUCGUAGAGGGAGGUAGAAUUCCCGGUGUAGC